AUGCAAUUAAAAACCAGAGUUCAGAAUUCCUGCUGUUGUCCUUUUCUACUCUCACAAGGAAAACAUAUGAUGGUGGUGAUGAUGAUGAUGAUGAUUUUGUGCUGGUGGCUGCACAUUAAACAUCUUCAUGAGAAAUGUUCAGGAUUCCCUCCUCCCCCCCACCCGCAUCCUGAUCUCUGAGGCGUGCGACAAGGUUGCUCAAUAGCGCCUGUAUUGUUCAAUCUGGUCAUCGAUUGGAUACUAAAACAA